AAGACAGAAGAGGGAUCCCAUGUCAACUCGAAGUCUUGAAAGCUGAAAGCGAUUGGGAACGGAUAAGGCCUCACUACUUUAGGGGGCGUUUGAUUCAAAUUAUCAAUCGAAUCAGAUUCCAAAGAUUCAGUUUUUCAAUAAAAUUAAACCUUUUGGUUCAUAUUUUCAAAAAGGUGAUUCGAAGUUGAGGUGUCCAGUUGAAUCAAGCACUUGAACUAAAAUCCACGACUCAACUGGUCCAACCUCAAGAGGUUAAUCCAAGAUCGAGUCACGGAUGCUAGGGUUGAUAUAAAAAGGAUAAGUUCACGGUGAGAUGGAAAUCAUCGGGUUUUUACCCUCUUACGGUGAAAUGAUCGCACUUACCUGCAACUGAAAAGCGAAGUGAGAUUUCUCUCCUUCUUCUUCUUCGUCUGUGUUUAGGGUUUCUCAUGUUUAUCCUCUUUCCAUGAUAGACACUCGCAUCCGAGAAGACAAUCUGCAAAACCGAGUUUAUUCGAGGUGGGGAAAAAACUCUCAGAGCUUAUUCGAGAUUCAGGCAACUAGACGUCUGGUUCAGAGCAGGGCAGGUGGCAAGCAGAACUUACCCAAGUAGCAAUAGAGUUGAUUGGGGUUGAAAACAAAGGUUGUGGAAUGUUCGAAUGGAUAUCAAAUUCAAGCCCAAGUUGUCAUACUUACCAGACUCCACCUAGGUCACUAUGCCCGGAAACCUCAACUUCAUCAUCUCCUUCCCCUUCAUCAGACUAUAUCAAAGGAUACUUAAACGGUGCAAUAAAAGAAUCGGAGGGUCAU